UAUGUGGGGAGAGGAGUGAUAUACCUCAAACUGCUACUUUUUGAACAAUUAGAAAGAAGUGUUAAGUAUACAUAUGGAAUUAGAAGAAAACCAAUCGGUUUCAUCCAGUGCUAGUCCUACUCAGAGUAGACCCAUUUAAGUUAUUGGCCAUGAGUAUAUCACUAUUAUACUUAAUGGGUUGUAUCUAUCUCCCUGUCUUCACAACAACAAAAGCAACAACAACCCUGUCUCGAGUCACCCAGUGAGCUAGGAAACUGAAGGCCUUAAAAGUAUGAGUUAUAUGCAAGGCUACUCCAACUCACAGUAGACCCAGAGAAGGUAAUGAAGACAACAAACUUAAGUUCAUCAGCUGUGCAGUUUGUCUACCCUUGAGUAUUUUAAAACCUCCACUAACAAUAGCAUUGCAAACUAUUCAUCUAGAAUUAGUGGACAGGGAUGGGAGGACAGUUAGGAGAGCUGAUGGGCCAAGAACCUUCCCAAAGUGGUUAGCUAGUAAAUCCCAUUACCUCGGCUGCUUCUCUCUCUAGAUGCCCCUAUUGGCUUUUCAUUGGUAACUCAAAAGGUUGGAAUAUAUGGCUCAAGGAGACUGCAAGUUGCUGACACAUCAUGUCAACAGAACAGGAUUGGUUAAUGUCAAACUAGUAUGCCACUCUAGUUUAUCAUAGGCACCCACAAAAGCACACCUAGCUUUUUUAUUGUUGCUCUAAGCAGGAUUAUACUGAUUUCUAACUGCAGUGAUUUUGUUUUCCCAUCAUGUUGUCAGACUGUUGAACCACUGGGCAUUAUCCAGUCACAUUGCAAGCCUCAUAGAAACAACCAACAUGACAUCAAAUCCUUUUGACACACUUAAGAAGAUGAUUUUUUAAAAAUCCAAAACAGGUCACAUGAAUACAAAACUGCAUACAACCCUUUCUGAUCUUGGCUGUUCUUCCAUUCCUUUCGUCGUCCUAACCCUGAUUUGGUAUGCAGCCCAUGGGGCGGUCAUGCCUGCUGGCAAACAAAGGGAAUUGGAAAUCAGCAUUACAUUUGAACUCUCUCCCACCCCUUCGCUUUAUUGAUGCCCAUAAGGCUGGACAUAGUGACCACUCUCUCUCUCCCCCCCCCUUUAUUCUGAGUCCCCUUUGCCCAAAGAGAGAGGAGCUUAGAAUGCAGCCAAACCAUUAUUGUCUGGCAGUAUGUGAGGUACCAUAUUCCUCAUUUUUCUCAUUUCAAAUGCGCAGGAUUCCCCCUCUUGUUUCAAAAUCCCAACUCCUAAAAUGUCACCCAGGACCCUGCAGCUCAGAUCCUUGCAACUCGACAGCUUGAAUUUACUGCUUCCCACUGAGUCAAUUAGGGUUUUUUUACUCCUCUCUAUUCCUCUCACUUGUGCUGGAGCCUCACCCUUGGGGCUGGACGUCCCAGCUGCGAUCAUGCUUAUGCUUAGCUGUCAUUGCCACAAAGAAGACUGUAGCAGGGUGUGUACUUUGGUGAGGAUGCUAAGUGUUCCCCAAUAUAUUGUGGCAAUACAAUGGGUGGGGCUGCAGCCCUCACCGAUAUUGCUGAACUACAAAUCCCAUCUUCUCAUACAGUUGCCCACCAGGAGGGCCACAUCUCCCCGCACCAUGUCCUAAGGACAAGGUUCUGACAGUGGUAGGGACUAUUCCUGCACAGGUUCUGUGUCAGCCACUGAAUGCAGUGGACUCUGAGAUGGAAAAGUCAACUCCCCCCCCCCCCCGAAAGAAGAACACUAGAUGCUUCCUAGGACUGCUGCAUCAGUCCAGUGGACUGUCGUUUCUAAUUCUGUCUGGAGCCAUGACUGUUCUGGGAUAACCCCAUCCCCAUCUUUGGUGAAGUCUUACUUGAAUAUACUAAGACCUUUUCAGCAGCUAUGCACAGCUAAGAGACUCUGCAAGCAAGGAAAGAGCUUAACUCAAGAGCUUAACUUCAUCCCCACCAUGCUGCUAAUGCUGCUGUGUUUCAGCCCCAUUGCCUUAUCCACCAGGUUAAACAAUUCUCAAUCACUCUAUCUUUGUACAAAGCAAGGAGGAAGAAUCAAACUGGCUUCCCUGUUUUUCACCUAGUCUGCUUUGCAUUUUUUUUGCUUUGCUUGGGGAGUAAUAAGUCCUUUCAGUGCCUGGCGGCUUGCAAAUAACCCCGGAGAGUCUGUCCUGUCCCUCACCUCCUCCUCCUGACUCUCCAUGAUGGCUUUUAUGCUCCCCCGCUUUAUAAGUGGUUCUUUUAUGCCUUUCUUACAAUUGAAAGGAAACCCCAAACAAACAAGGGGGACAACAACCUCAGAGAGAGAGAGUGGGUAAAAUGCUUGGUAAUCCAGUACUGCCAGCAACUAUUGCAGGGAAAUCCAGAGUUAAGAGCAGAAAAGCCAGGCAAGUGAGCAGGCUGCCCUCACCUCAUCUCACCCUGCGGUGCUGAAAACUCUUCCUGGUGCCUGGUGUUCCCUAUCAAAUGUACUUGAUUAGUUGGUCGCUAGAGGGUGAGUUGAGGACAGCCUCCUUUGCUUGGAGUUGCAUGCUGAGUUUGGAGUUUACCCCCCCCCCCCCUUGAGUUAUCAAAAGUGCUGCAUAAACAGUGUUCUUCAACCUUGUGUCCCCAGAUGUGGGUGGACUACAAAUCCCAUCAUCCACAAACAUUUUAGCCUCAAUUGUCAAGGGCCAUGGGAGUUGUAAUCCACCCUCAUCUGGGGACCCAAAGUUGAAGAACACUGACUUAGAAGAUGCUGGGCAUCAUACUGUAAAUGAGCAGCUAACCUUACUUGGACCAACUAGUGCGAAGCUUUUAAAUCACAUGCAGAGAAUUUGCUUUCCAGCAUCUGUUUCAUCUUGGUGUUUUGCAUCUGCAGACUUUUUCAUUUCAACAAUGGGUAGCGGAACUUGGAGGAGGCACGUCAUUAGCCCCAUGGGAACAAAGCAGAAAAUGGAAAAUAGAUAAAUAAAAUUUCCUAUAGCAAUAUGAUAGUUACCAGUACAAAGGUGAGGGCACCUCUCAGUUGCAUAUCAGGUACAGUGCCUGUCCUGUUUUGGUUGAUAGUUUAGUUUUUUUGUUAGUUUGUUUUAGAAAUAAUGGAAGCAAACCAGAGAGGCUUGUCAAGGGUGGGGAGAUUUAAUGAGAUAGGACCGAUAAAUGGUAGGGCUCCGUUUUAAGGAAUAAAUAGUAAUGUGUGUGUAUGGUGAAUGUUAGGGGUUGUGAUAACAAGUUUUGGAUAUCUAAGAAUUUCCCCCCAGAUAUUCUGUACAUUUAGAAAUGCUUUCAUAAAGAAGAGGGAGAAAAAUAAAGUUUUCUAAAGAGAAAAUGAGAAGCAAAUGAGUUCAGCAAGGAAGAAAGAUAAAGGUUCCUUGUGGGCAGAAUUGCUGAGUGGUAGAACUUUUUUUUUUUUUUGGUCUAAGCAAAAUGCAGGAUCUACAUCUCAGGAGGAUUUAAAGUAGAGUUUGUCAGAUAUUGUUUAAGAAUGCUUCUGCCACACAGUUUUAACUGCAGCAUAUGACCUGUGGUUUGGCAUUUCCAUCCCUGCAGCCCAGAGCGGUCUGGCUAGCACUGGUUGGUCUGUAUUGACUUGGCAGGAAACUAUUUGGGCAGUGUAAUCCAUGAGGCUCCAUUCUAAUUAGCGCUUCUUUAGCUCAGUGGAAGUAGAGCAAAUGUUCUGCAUGGAGAAAGAUCCAAUCCUCAGCCUCCCCAGUUAGAGGGCCUUCAGGGUGAUGGUGCUGCACUUACAGAAUGCUUUCCCCAGUGUGGCUCACUUGGUGUCCAUGCUGGAAGCUUUUUUGGUGUCAGGUGAAGAAGAUGCUUCUCUUCUCCCAAGCCUUUUAAUUCUAUACAUUUAGGUCUUGGAACAGUUUUGUCUUCCUUUUGUUUGUGUGAUUUCCACACACCCCCAGCGCUACUUAUUGAUCUUAUGCUGUUAUAUGGUUCAGUGCUACUUUUUAUUAAUUUUGUGCUGGUGUUGCUUGUAUAUAUUGAUAGCCUUUAGUACUGUCGAAUUGCAUUUGUAUUUCAUUGACUUUUAAAUUGUAAGCUACGCAGAGAGCACAGUUGUUUGGGUGAUAAAGACAUGCCUAAAUAAAACACAGACAUUUUUUCUUCAAUUAAUGGUACAAUAAAAUUAGGAGUUUAGGAAGGCGUGAUAGCGAGUUAGCUGAUUUUAUGGGGACAUGCCCCAUUCAGCCAUUUCUAUGCUAAAUCUGUCAUCUACAUGUACCCUUAAAUUCUGAACUUCUACUGUUUUAAUAAUAUAACUGCCCUAUGCAUGUCUACUCAGAAGCAGGUCUCAUUUGUACUUACUCCCAGGUAAGAGCGCUUAGGAUUAAAGCAGGGAUCGCUAAUAUGGUGCCCCCAAGAUAUUGUGGACUACAAUUCCCAUCAGCCUUAAUCAGAAUGGUUAAUGGUCAACGGUGGUGGGAGUUGUAGUCCAAAACAUCUAGAAGGCACCAUGUUGGCCACUUCUAAAUAGGAUUAAAGUCUAAAUGACCUAUGAUGUCCAUUCCAACUUGGUGCAGCAGGAUCCUAAACAUGAUCUACCUGCUGCAGCCCUAGAAGGCUCUGUACAAAAACUCCCUACUUUAGAAUUAAAUGCAUUGUUCAAAUUACAGAUUAUGUGAAAGUUAUUGGAGUCAUUGGAUUCCUCAGUCUUAUGUGAUUUAUGAGACACACAUUAUUCCUCAGCUGUAGCAAAUGCAGUAAACAUUCAUUUGAUACAGCACUUCCCACAAAGGAAUGUACAAGGAAGAAGUGAGGGAUAGUUUAUAAAAUACAAAUUAAGCAUGAAUAUAGUGGUUGGUAUUUUCUUUCCUCUACAAAAUAUCCUCAUUCACAGCCCUCUCAGCUCUUAUAGUCUUAGCUUUCAACUCAUUUCUGCCUGAGCUGCUUCUCUUGAUGUCAUAUGGCCACUUUCUGGAUGCUGUUUUCUGUUUUAGAGAGAUCUGGUGUUGCAGAGGGCAGGGGCUGCAUUUCGUGAGUUACCUUUGCAGAACUUAGAUUUGGUAUGCCAAUAUCUAUUAGUCACAAUGGGCUUUUGAAUGGCGCGGGUCUGGUGGUGGCACCAGGCAUCCCUGGGCAGUUACUAGGGCCUCUGCACUCUGACAAGGCCCACCACCACAGUUUGUCUUAAUGGCUCUUUUAUUAUUAUUUUGUUUAAAGACCAAGCCUAGCACUGCAAGGACAAUCUGCUAUUUCAAUUUUCCACAAUAUUCUGGAGCAACAUUACAUCAAGCGCAUUGUCAAAAUUAAAAUGUCCAGCUGCUCAACACUUACUGCCUCUGCCAGCAGCACCAGGUAUGCGUGCCAGGGCCUAUCAUUUGGGGAAGAGGGCUACUAGCAGAGGCGGGAAGCCAUCAGAGGGCACUUUGCCCAAAGCCUUCUCAAACUUGGAGGCAGCAAGUUGGUGGAGAGAGGUCUAGUGGUUUUGGAACUUCAAAUGGAAGCAGCUAUCAAGCUGAUAGAAGGGAACUGGUUUUCAGUUUCCCAUCCUGGUCAGUGAAAGCUAAUGUUUAGCUGGUCAGUGAAAGCUAAUGUUUUUGCAGACCCUGGUCUGGUUUGCUAAUCCUACUCAGACCCAUUGAAAACAACAGACAUGACUAAUUUAGGUCCAUGAACUUCAUGGUCCAUGAACAGGACUUAGUUGGCUACAACACAUUGCUUCUAUAUGCGUAUGUGUUUUGAAAGUUUGCUUCCACACAAAUUAGGUCUCCAAACUUUUAAUGUUUUUUUUAAAGGUGGAUUCUAAGACGAUCUGGACACCAGUUUGUAGUAUGCAAUGCAAUCAGAGUUGGAUUUGAGUAAACUUUGCAGGAAUUGAAUGAGAUAGUUUGGAAGGGUUGAGAGGAGAAACCUCGUUAUGAUAGGGGUAAGGCUGUGCUACUUUUAAACAUUGUCACUACCAAGAUUUCUAGAGCAUCUAAAGCCGCUUGGAACAAGUUCCAUAUUCCCUCAAUUGCUGCAUCAUUAACAAACAUAAGCCCCCAAAUUCAGGCAACAGAGAGAGUAUAAAAACCCCAUGUACACACAUACACAAUUUAAUUUUUGAGAUUUUUACACCACAGCCCUGUCUAUAGAUCCCUGUGAUGUUCAGGAAAAAAUUUUAAAAAGCAAAACCCACCCAGCACACUAAAUCCCAAGGCUGUAACAUUUACAAAUACUGUGCUGCUUACAGUUUACAAAUUAAUCUGAUCUGGUGCAGUAUCCAGGUUAGAGUCUACCUUUUAAAAGAAGAAAGAGAGAGAGGUUAUAAUCAGGUAUAGAUUAUCAUUGGGUUACACAAAAUUUGUUAGCCCCUUUCUGCUCUUCUUCUUCCUUUUAUAUAUAUACCACUUGGUUGCCCGGGUAGUUUCUAAGCAGGUGGUUUCUAAGCAGUUUACAAGUAUAAAACUAAUUAC